CCUACGGGAGGCAGCAGUGGGGAAUAUUGCACAAUGGGGGAAACCCUGAUGCAGCGACGCCGCGUGAGCGAUGAAGUAUUUCGGUAUGUAAAGCUCUAUCAGCAGGGAAGAAAAUGACGGUACCUGACUAAGAAGCCCCGGCUAACUACGUGCCAGCAGCCGCGGUAAUACGUAGGGGGCAAGCGUUAUCCGGAUUUACUGGGUGUAAAGGGAGCGUAGACGGCGGUGCAAGCCAGAUGUGAAAGCCCGGGGCUCAACCCCGGGACUGCAUUUGGAACUGUGCUGCUAGAGUGUCGGAGAGGCAGGCGGAAUUCCUAGUGUAGCGGUGAAAUGCGUAGAUAUUAGGAGGAACAUCGGUGGCGAAAGCGCUUUACUGGACCAUUAUUGACGCUGAGGAACGAAAGCCAGGGGAGCAAAUGGGAUUAGAUACCCCAGUAGUC
rnacentral:rRNA from 1 species